ensembl:lncRNA
UACGUCUGAAUAAGCGCCAAGGUCAUUUUAGCAUAAACGUUACGAGGGCAAUUUCAAUAUUAUUAACCAAAGCCUUAUUUAUUAUGUGGAAAACUGCUCCGGGGCCUCAGACCUAUGGGGACCACAAAGAAACGGGUUCUCUUUUUAAUGAAUUUCAUGAGGACUUUGCAGCAGCUAACCAUGUGAUUAGUGUAGAAGAAGCCUUCGUAGAAUGUAGAUCAUUACGGAGCAUAUUCACAGUCACCUGGUGCUAAACGGACCUUAAAAAAUAACAGUAAUUACAGGUGAUCAAACACACGCUAGACAGCAGAUCGGAUGUGAGUUUGGUUACCAUAUCAGCAUACCGUUUCAUUUUUUAAAGGGACACUCGUAAGCGACACUCGCUCCACACUGUAGCGUUCAAGGCAAGGCCACACCAAGUUGUUCAUCCGUCAUCUCAGAAACAACAUACGUGUCCGUUGAAACAAGCCCGCUGGCAGCCGUUUGAAAGGUGCUGCACUAUCCAGAUAAUCGCAGAAACUGGUAUGAAUUAAGGUUUCAUUCAUACAAAAAUAUGUGGUGAUUCAGUCACAACAUGAUUAAAAAAAAAAAAGAAACCCCAGAACACUCUUAACAUUAAAAAUAUAUUCAUCUUUAUUCGUGUGGAAUCUACACAUGAAUGUGUCUGCAACUAUGGUGAUAAUUCAAAAUAAAUAUAUAAUCAAACAAGCGCUGAAAGAAGAAGAUUAUAAUGCAAAAAAUGUCCCGUUCCAUUAUUUACUAGUAGAGAUGUUUUUUUAACUGUUAUUACAGCUCUGUUAAAAGUUUUAUGAACAAACCGGUAUGUUCAAUUGUAUAUUCCUUUGAACUUGAACUUGUUUUUCUUACAUUAUCAUCACCAGAGUCUUGAAUACAUUCGUUAACAAAUCAUGCCUUUGAAGAAUAGCUUCUCAGUUUAUGUAACUUGCCAAAUAAAAGCAGAUUUUUAUAGCAGUGGGGACCUGUGCUGUUGAUCGGCGACCAGUGGGCCGGAGGGAGGGGAUUAACUUUGGAGAGCAGUCAUUCAAGGAUUUGCACAGGGAUAUCUCUAUUUCCACUGCUAUGCCCUCAGUGAAGUGUCAAAGGGAAGUUGUUGUGCAUUCUUGGGCAUAUUUGGGCAUAUUUGGGCUGUAUGCGUGGCCAAGCAGGGCACAUUCUCUCACGGUGUUGGUUUGUCCUCGUUUCAUUUUGUAUUCCCUUGCUUCUCGUGCGUGUGUGUGUGUGUGUGGCUUGGCUUCACUCCCUUGCGAUUGUCGGUCCUUGUCCCUAAAUGUUCCCACCUGUGUCCGAUCACCUGGCCCUUCUCGGCGUAUUCAAGCCAUGUUAGCCCGCUAUCCUGUGAGAUCCUUCAUGUACCCAUGAGUCCCUUCCUAUCAUUUAUACCCCGGCAUUUUCUUUACUCUUUCAUACACAGUCACUCUGCCACAGCGGAGCUGCACCUCAAAUCAGUGAUUCUGUCCACACAGCGUCCAAGGACAGAUCUUUUUUUCUUUUGACCGGUAUAGACUCUCCCUAGAGUUCUCAAACGGCAGCUCAAUGCCAAUUGAUGUUCAGGGAUUGACAGCAUUUUGACGGACAUACUUAAUGAACAGGUUCAUUUCAGUCCAGGUUUAAACUCAUCUGGGUUUCAGUGCGGUCAUAAACUGCUAAAACAAAACAUUCGGUGCAAUGAGGCGCUGCUUAUGGCCAUCCUUGACAGUUUUCUGCCGCCAUAAAGUGCUGCUUCCAAAUUGAAAAGCAGAAGAUGAUGUUGUCGCGAUGGCCGAGCACCGCAAGCCCUUUUCUGAAUUGACAAUUACUUAAUGUUUUCUCCAAGGCAACCGGAUGACUUCACAGAAUGACAGAAUGAGGGGUGUUAUUUGGAUUUAUACCCCACUAAAGCUAAUGGGGGGGGGCUGGAGUAUCUUGCAGUUAGGGUGGGAGGUGCGGCGGGUGUAUUAACACAACAUGCAGCCGAGCAAUGACUCCAACAAACAGAUUAAGCCCCUCCCCUUGUUAUAAAACCAUUUGACUUGGUUCUUCCUCCCUGUUGGGACGUGUGUACGUAUGAUAACCGUCACCCGCAUCACCAUCACUUGUAGUUCGUUAAUGGCGUGCUAAUGCUCUCUGAAUGUCCACUAAACGCAGCAAUUUUUUUUGUGGCCCGUAGCGCUCCAUCACGGCGCCGCCUGCUGCUCGCUGAACACCAUAAUGAGCUAAUCAGAGAGCCGAUGCACAGUGACCAGGAACAUGAAGUGGGAACAAAGGAAUCCCGCCGGAGCGGCCUACGUGUCUCGCGUCUCGGAGGACGCCAACAGGUGGACGGGACUUCCAUCGCGAACCGCUCAUGGAGCCGCAGUCUCCGCCAUCAGCCUCAGCUUUUUGAAAAAUAUGAUGAAACUCGUCCCUGGAGGUGCACAAGGGGCACCGUCACCUAUACGACUCCCGGGCAAAAGCUUUCACUCAUUUCCCGUGCUUUGUCUGAGAGCUCACGGCAUUGAGGGCCACCAAAGUUUACCAGCGCGCCACAGCACCCAAACCUCGCGCCUCCAAACUACACUUAUUUCCUCGCUGCCUUUUGGCCUCGGAGUUUAUGAGGCUUGUGUUCAAGUCAUAGAUCAGUAGAUUGAUACCGUAGAAAAACCGCUUUUCUCCACAGCGUGGUCUGGUCCCCAGGGAGACUUUUUCCCUGAUCUCGGCCUGUGUCAUUGCCACCAAAUGAAAGCCCCUUAGAGCCAAUGGAGCCGUGCGGCUGUCAAAACUCUCCCCCUGUGCAGCGCACAAUCUUCUCCAGCCACUGCACUGCCAUAUGUUAAGGCAAAAAACACUGCUGAGCUUGGCAUGAUUUGAGCCCGAGGGAGGGGGGGCGGCAGUGGAGAAGGCGUCCUGUUGUCACCAACAUAUGGCUCCUGUGGCUUUGUCUGAUGUUUUCCAUUGUUAUGGAGUUUCACUGUACAACACUUUGCUCCAAACGAUGCGGCAUUGGAUGGUUUUGAGGCGCAGGGGCCUCUUUAGUAAAAGUGAAACUGAUUAAAAAGGACCUGAUGAUCCUUUCCAGCAUGAUCCCUUUAUCUCCACUGUGGUUGAAGUAAGUCUCAUGUGAUCGCUACGGAGUUGUGUGUGGUUUUGGACUUGAAACAGACACUAUGAAUCAAAGGAUUAGCAUUUAACUAUAGCGCUACAUAUCUCGCCAUUUUGAGCGAAGCAACAAUAGGACAUCGAAAGCAGCAAUAGUCUGCAAACACUCGCUUGUUUCAGCUCCAAGCUGCACCAUGCGGAUGAUUGUUAGCAGGCUAGCGGUCUACUCUCUUUGCAUUCCUGUGUGUGCCUGCUCAUUUUGCAGCGAGGAGUGUUGCUGGGUAAUGCAAUCCUAGCUGGCCACUCCUAUUAAUCACUUCCUCCCAAGGAAGAGGGUUCAUUAGGAAGCGAUUCUCUUAAUGGAGACCGCAAUGGCCCAUUGUAAGUGGUGCAGACUCAGGGCAAGGAGCUAAAUCCGUCUGCCCGGCGUCAGGUCUAAACAGCGGGGUAGGGGCCACUCUCCGGGGCCCCGCUAAAUGACGUUAUCUAAGGGUGCAGGGACCACUCGUAAAUAAACCCCGGCGGUGGUCUUCUCUGCACAAAAACGCUCGGCGGGUAAAAGGCAGACCGUGUGCUGCGAUCCCCGCUGAGCCGCGAGGAUUAGAUCACUUACAGAAGGGAAGGAUAUUUAACACAAGAAAUAUGAGAAAUUAAUCUCGUCUGGUAAUGCAGGUGUCUUAGCGACAAAUGUCGACAGAGUAGCUGAGCGGGGCAAGUAAUUAUACCCAAAUGAACUUGUCAGAGCCCGUAUCACUUGAGUUAGUAUCCGCUUUUCACGCUCGUCGGCGGGAAUAUGACGUCUCCCGGUGCAGAGACAAGCGACUUCACAGAGUGAAGUCGUGGCGUGGUUCCACGUUCCACUGCGGCUGCAUGACAUUUUACGUCGUGCCACUCGACACCACUUCAAAUAACAUUUAUGUGGAAGGUGAGAAAGAAGCGUUUUCAGCUUAGCGGGGUUGAGCGGAGCGCAGUUAGAGUUAGGAUCCAUCUCCUUGCAAAGUAAAUUCCUCGUCUGCCUGUCUUCUCUCACAUAGAAAGCGUUUUUUUCAUCCUUCCCGUUAAAGUAGUGCAGUGUUAAAAUGUUAAAAACAUGCCUUUUCAGAACGGGCCGAGUGGUUGUGGUUGUGGUGCUGAUUUCAGCUUUACUAGAUGCAGCACUUUUCCUGUGCUGCAUAAUUGUUAUAUUUAAAGGUUUUAUUCCAUAAAGAAAGCUUUGAAGAAUUGUUUGGAGAAAUGUGUGCUUAGUUUAUCAAAAAAAGGUUGGUUUAGAAAUGGACAUUGCCUCCAGAAACUGCUGAUUUCACUCUACUUUUAAUGGUGUCAAUUUCCCAAAUGGAAAACCGUAAUGUGAAGGACUCAUUUCCCAGUAGUAGUCGAAAUAGUUAUGUGCUAGUUUGUUUUAAUUGUGCACCAUAACGUAGUGGCAGGCAAGUUAUUGUAUGUGUGACCAUACAACCAUCCCACAAACAUUCUCCCUGAGAUCAAAAGCUAGACAACAUUAAUGCUAAAUAAUAAUAAAACCUGUGAAAAUUGUUAGGGAUUUAAGCCAGAAGUGCAAUACAAUUUCAAUCAAACACAAUUCAUAGUCAUUUAAAUCAUAUAAACACUGUACACAUUAACAUUCUGUCACAAUGUGAUGUUAAAACCUGGGGACGGAUGCAAAUUGCCGUCCUUUAUGGAUUUCUCCCAAUUUUAUCCCCAAAGAGUUUUUUUUGGGAGUUUUUUCUCCUGUCAGGUAGUAAAUGAACAACUUAAUGCAAGGCAGCAGACUGAGGCAAAUGUCUUGAGAAUUGGACCACAUGAACUGUCUUAGAUCUUAUGAUGAAGUGUGAUGAACGGUGAUCAUUAAUGAUGGGUUGUAAUUAAAGUGUACUAGUUAUAAGAUGAAGACUUAAACGAUGUAUGCUUUGUUAAAUUCACUCAUUGGGGCAUAAAGCCAACUGUAUCUACAUUGAAUGCAUUGGAAUGUGAGGGACAGAUAGUACAGAGAGGUUUCAGGUUACAGCUGCAGCUUCACACCUCGACGUGGAAGGGACAGUCCAGGAGAGACACUCUGAAGAAGAAGCCAAUGACAUUCAAAUGCACCAAGAAGACACACCUCAAGAGUUUUCAAAUGACCAAAGCGGGGAAAAGACUGUUAGAAUUUUCCUGCAGCUGCUUUGAUAAGUCGCUUUAGACUUGCUCAGAGGAUUCUCUAUUUCGCGAAAUAUUUUACUGUUCGCAUUGUAUUUCACUUUGUAAUUGUAUUGCUUCUAACGUUGUUUAGUUAUUAAAUACUUUUUGAUUUUUGAAUUUAAGCAAGCUGACUCUUUUGAUUCUUCGUUUCUGGCCGGGAUGAGAACAAAGGAGUGAGGCCUCCCUCGAGAGCUUUCCGAAACCCUAACAAUGUUCAAACUGUCUUUACAUUGGGAGGCAUAUUUAUUUUCUCUGAAUUAAAGAUACGGAAAUAUAUAGUUAACUGCGGUAUCUUGCACGCCACUGCUCAUUGGUCCACAAACUCACAGAAAUGAUUCAGUAGUGAGAAACACACUUAUAGCGUUUGUGUGUUUCCCUUCAGCUCAGGUGUGACUAAACUUGAUGACAAAGCUUAUGUGCGGUCUUGAAUUCCUCCUCAGUCAAUAACAGCAAAUAUUAAUGAUGUUUUCCUUUUUAACAGGGAGUUCAGAGACUUUAGACAACAAGAAAAAAGCUCACUGAGAAGCUUCCUCUGUACUUCCAGAGUGCUAAAGGCGGGACUUCGGUGUGUCCUCUACUUUGUUCAUAACCUCAUCAGACGGAAUAAUUGUUCCAGUGCCAAGAGAAGAUUACCCAGAGGUGAAAAAUGUCCCUUCUAUUCCCGUGCUCUCCUCCUAGUCCUUGGGUUCCGUUCUGUAAAAGACCAUUGCAAUGUCCUUCUCCAACUGAUGAGGGAAGAUUAAAACAUGAACUUUUCCUUUUUGAUUGUCUCACAGUCCUCCUCUCUUGUCACAAAUAUUAAUAUUACAAAAAAAGUUACCUCAAGCAAAUAACAAAUUGGAUUAAUCCUAACAGGGCAAUUUACAGUUUGGACCGUGGACCCAAUGUGGAACCUUGAGGCACAACAACAUAAUUAUCGACCAACUUGUGAAGUUAUACACUUACGCAAAGCAGUGUUUUUUUCCUGCGAGUAAUCAUUUCAUACAUUUUUGGUAACUUGGUAACUGAAGAAAAUAAAAACAAAGAAAACAGCCCCUAAAACAACCCCCUAAUUAAAUUGAACCUUCUCAUUUUUGGGAGAAAAAAAGCAUUUUCAGUGAUUUUUUUUUCUGUUUAAUUCUAUUUGGCUUGUGAAUGCGACACGACACAACAAAGAUAAGUUUGAACCACAGUCUUACUGACGCCGUGGUCUAAUACUAGGCUUCGGUGACAACCUGCUCUUUCCCUCUCACAGCUGACAAAAACAAUCUGCACUUAUUGUGGCGGAAACCCUCGGCACAUAUCGCUUGUUUCUUGAUGUUUCUUGACUCCUCCACAACUAAGCAAAGUCAGGGCGACUGCUGCUUGCAAGCAGCAGGCGGCGAGUGGGCACAGCCGCACCGUGUGGUUGAAAUUCAUUGGCAGUAUCCAUGUGGCUGUUUGAAAAUGCAUCGAAUAAUGGGAAUUAAGGGCAAAUCAAUCUGUCCAGUUUAACAGGAUUCCUGGAAAAGAUGGGGCAGAGGACAGCGAAGUAAAAAGCACACGUUGACAAUUUUAUAAAUGCAGCACUCUGCAGUCAAUCAGUCAGGGACAAACUUUGAUGCCACUUUACUCCAGGAUAACAUGCUAGCCAAUUUGGAUGUUGCUCAAACGGUAAAUCCAGCCGCUCCUUGUUUCAGCGGCACUAACGCCUUCAAAGAGCUGCUCUAAUGCAUUCAUCCCUCUCCUCCACUGUCUCUAACCUUGAAAUGAGAGGGCUCCCCGCAAACGCACCUGAUUGAAUCCCAAUGUGCAGGAGUUUGCCAAAGCACGCACUUUGUAUCCUGGCCCCCGGGCUCCUGAUUGGACCCUCGGAGGCUCUCCCCGUUUCUCAUCCCGCAGGCUCAAUCGCCAUGGUCUGAUUGGCCAUCUUAACCCCUGUGACCUCAUCCAAAUGGACUGCACCGGGGCGGAGCGUGGGGGGCCCUCACGCCCACGCUCGUUCUCUUGUGCAAAUAGCCCCCCUCCCUUCCCUCCUCUACAACACAACGUUUCGAGGAGGAAGACUUCGGGGUGAGCCGUGAUCACAGCUCUCAGGUAGCUUUUUGAAACACAUUUGUUCCAUUCUCAAACAUCCACUUCUUCUGACGAGUGCUCAACUGGGAGAAGAGGAGGGUAAGGGGGGAACGGGGGGGGGGGGCACCUGGGGGGGAGGCAUUUUGAUUGCCUGCCACUAGAUUGUUGAUGCUCCAGGAGCUUUGUGAGCAUGAGACAGGCCAGAAUACGAAGGGUGUUCCUGCAGCCCUUCUUCCUUAAGAAGUAGCGGGCACGAAAAGAAUGAAGAGCGUUUCUCCCUCAAUAGAUCAAUCCACCAGAAUUAAGCACCACAUCUGACAAAAAGCAGGCACGAGCAUCAGAGAAGAUGACAAAAUCUUGCCGCAUAAUCAGCAAAAUCUGAACAAACUUGGGCAAACGUGGUCUUUAUUUUUAGGGAUCAUAUGAACUACAGAGCACAGUAAAAGAGGCGGGUUCAAGCGAUUCACAGCAGGGUCGAAAAAGGCUUCCUGUGUUAUUUCACAGAAGAAAAGAGAGAUUUGCAGAGAGAGAUAAACAACUUUGUUAGGAGAGGAAAUACUCUGCGGCACAAGAUGAAAACAAGUGCUCUUUGACCGCGUGGAGUGGUACACUGUGUUUAGAAAAGCUGCUGUGUUUACCUCUUUGCUAAAGCCCUUGAGCCUUGGCCUCUACAUACUGCGUGCCAGGAGAAGGGUAAACCUGUUCAGGUCAAGGUCUGAGGAUGGGGAGCAAACACACACACACACACACACACACACACACACACACACACACACACACACACACCACACACUUUCUUGUCAACUAAGAAAGAAAAAUACCAGUAUCUUUAUUGUCUCCAACAGAUGAUUGCAUGUAUUGGUCUUUUCAUCUUGCAUCAUUAGGGCUGCAAAAGGUUUCCUGGACGACAGUGCACGGAGUAAAAGCGCCUUUGUUCAUGCUGGGAGCUCGCGCUGACAAAGCUUAACCUCGAGCAGCGUUAACUUAAAUAACUAACAACGUUAGUAACAACGUUGUGACCUUUGUUUUAGUGCCUUGACGGGACUAUAUAGUUGAGCUUUUUCUUACAAAGCAAAUGUCACGAAAAAGGAAAUAACUCCACAACCCAGGGGUCCCGCGGUGGUUAAAGGGGCCAUUUGCAGUCACUCAUAAUCCAAGUAAAAACAUUUUGGCAUUCAAACCUUUAUUGGAAAUUGAUUAUCGUACAAACGGAAAAUGAAUGGAGAGGGAGGAACCUUUUGGCUACCAGGAGCCUCCCAGGUAUCACUCCUCCAAAGACAACACAAGAAAAGGAAAAGAAAAAAUUAUUUUAAACUAUUUGACAUCAUCUCAGUAACCUUUCAGCACAAUAAAAUGUAGGCAGUACACAUAGUGACUAUGACUGGCUUUCUGACAGCAAAAACAAGUUGCAAAGUUGUCAUCGAGUGUCACAUCAUCUGCUGUUUUGUUUCCGCCGAAUCAGCUUUCCAUGAAAACCUUUCUCCUCCCCCCGACCUCUUGUCAUCACAAAACACCAUCACAAUGUAGAAUGCAGCCACAGCUGCAGGAGAGUAACACAGCAGCCAACAUCAUGAAAGAGAGACGAGUGAAACGUCGGCUGAAUGGAGGUCAUGUUAGCUCACCAAUAUUAUCAUUCAUUUGAAAUUAGAACAUGGAAAAAGAGGCGGUAGGGCUAAAACAAGUGGUUCAUCAGGUGGUUACCAUGGCAGCCAGUCGUCAUGAGGAGGUGAAGUGUUUAAUCGUGGUCAUUAAUUGCUCAGUGUAGCACUGAUAGAUUAUCAUGUUGUGCUAUUUUUAUUGUUUUUUGCUGAAUGAGCUCAUUUCCUCACAUGGAGGUUUCAUCUCAUUCUGGAGGUUAUUUUAUCCUGCAGAGUUAACUCAGACAACACUUACACAAGGUGUAAACAUGAAAUCAGAAGAGUUGGACAGAGCUGCAGGGAGAGAACGGCCUGGAUGGAGCAGUUUACCGCGCCGUUGAUCACUUGAGAACGUGAUCUUCAAGGCAAAUCUCUCCCUGGGGAUGAUUAAAAACAAUUGCCGUUCCCUUCUCCAAAUCUCAAGUAUAUGCAGCUAAAACACGCCAACAGGCAAUGAAAGCUGGCAGCAUGAAUGAUGUUCAUUGCUCUCAUUGCCGAAGCUGCAAAUGCCUCAUUCCAGGAAAGAGGCGUAUGGUGAGCAUCCUUAAUGAGUGUUCGGGAGCAGGAAUUCACAUAUUUACUCUUGGUGUGAUUAGAUUGCAGUGCUGGUGAGGGAUCAGACAGAGCGGUUGUUUACCUAACGAUGCAUUAUCCUUUUGUGCAAUCAAUCUAUCCAACUCUGUGAAAUAGACAGCACACGUCUUUUGUCUUUGAAAAUGCAAAGCACCUUUCCAACAUCCGGGCUGGAUGUUUCUGGGACAACGGGAUAAAACAUGAAUGUACUUUGCAAUUUGUAUUGAGGUGAUUUUUCAGCCCGCUGUGCCUGCCAUUUUUUUUUGGGGGGGGGGGGGACAUUAAAUUGAUGUUGGAAAAGCAAGAAAGCGGAGUAUUUUUCUUGGCACACGAGCAUCCCAUUGAGCAAAUCUGACAGACAUUUAGGAGAUGGGAGAAUAGCUGGCUGCCGCCUGUAAAGAUCUGAGGUGCACGUGUUUUUCUCCCCACGAUUCAGCAGGGUGUUUAUUUUUUUUCAACAAAUGCCAGAGUAUUUUUGCUCACGUAUCAAAGCAAUUACCAUCAAUGCAAGGAACAGCACCACCUAUUAUGGAAAACAGUUGCAGGAGAUUGCAUGUUUUUCUCGUUUUCUUUACUUGAUCCCGAGUAUUCAUCCAUUUCAGAAGUUAUUAGGAUGGCUCAUAUUCCUUGGCAUGUGCAGAUGACCUAGAAUUUAAAUCCCAAUAUCUUUGGGUGAUAUUACCGUGGUGGUGUUAUAUACUGGUUUUAGACAUAUAGAUAUAUGUUUGGUCGAGGGAACUCUCAUGUCAGUCCUCACUAAUGUGAUUUAUCGGCAAAACAUCCUCUUCACAUCAUUGCAGUUUAUAUUAUAGGGUUGGGUGGUCUUCUCUCCAAGAAAGAUGUGAUGCUCACUGAUGUUUUAAACUAUAAAAGCCCUGACUUGAAAAACGAUUAUAUAACCUGUCACUCAGGGGCUCUUGUCAGAUACGUUCUACUGACUGGCUGUUGGUUCAUGAAAACUGCUUUUAAGUUAAGUGACGCCUGGAAAAUACACCUUCAUAAAAUCAAGUUCCUUAUACGUUUUUGACAUUUACAAUUUCCCAAUCUCUACUUUUUAUUUUACAUUUGUACUCAAUUCCUCUCGUAAAUUAUGUAUUGUAAAUGCAAACCUCUUAACAUGACUGUAUUUUAUUUGAAAACUCAAUCAUUUGAUAAUUAACGUGUCUUAUUUGAACAGAACUAAGACAGUGAGCCGUUAAAAUUCAGUUUUUGCUUGUUUGUUUCAUACCUGACAGAAGAGAGAGGAAAUGAAAUGAGGUUAAAGAGCGAUGAGCAAUGACGUGCAACUCGGAUCCCUGCCCUGUGAAGUUAACCCCUCUUUGUGUCUGAGGGUCCGUUUAGUGAGGCAAAGUGUUUCUGGUCUUGAGGCCUUUGUGAGGGUCAACCUUGAGAAAUGGGCCCGAAAUGCUAAUUCGCCAAAUUUACAUUUGGAAAAUCUUCUGAAACAAAAAACAAUUUGGUGGAUGACGCAAAUAACUUACUGUGAACAUUUAUCAUUGGAAUUCUUUUCCAGAUUUUGGUUAAUCAGCAAGAAAUACGGGACAAGCAGGAGAGCUUAUAUGCCAUAAACAAUAUUUACAUCCAUACAAGAACAAAACGUCAAACUUUGCAACUUGUCACAGAGUUUCACCGAGGAUGGAUUCUCUGCAGCUUAAACAUACGAAGUUGCAACAGUUGGCUCAGCGAUGGAAAUAUUGAUUUGUGGUGAUCUCAGAUGAUAUGAAACUGUUGAGGUCAGACUGUUUUGGAUCUGUCUAAGAAGAACACAAACCCAGGUCUCUUUCUGAGGGAUUGUAACUAUUUGUGCAGCAUGAUUUAUAAAAGCAUUUUAUUUUGCCUUUGAAAGAUCAACAACUUUUUAUAAAAAGGCCACGAGUCCAAACAUUUGUUGACUGUUGAAUUUUAAAUAGUUGAAAAACAAAGAUGCCAAUUUGGUUGACACAUUUCUUUGCAUCCCAGAACAAAUAUUUUGUACUCGCGGUACGGUCGGCCCUUGUGUGUGUGUCCCUGCGCAUGCAUAUGCAUGUGUUAAUUUGCAUUCGAGUGCUUAAUUGGAUUUAUGAUGCACCGCUGAGCGAAACGCCGCCAUCUCCUCAAACGGCGUCCGACGUCGACGCGGCCUUUGGACCCGGUAUCCUCUCACAGCCCAUCUGCGCCUCUCAUCCUCUCCAAAAAGCCAUUAUAAUCCGACCAAUCCCACCGCCUCUCGCCACGACUGCCUCUUUUUCUGGCAGCCCCGCCCGCCACAUUAGGAAUUGUAACUGGGCUGGAGGCUCCUUUUCCCUCCUCAUUACCAUGUCGGAGGAUGAUUCCGUCUCCUCGUCACCGCCGCUAAAUGCAUUACAGGCCCCCGACCGCAGGGGGCCCGAGGGAGCUGGCUUUGAGGAAGUCGGUGGUAAUUCAGUCACAGGCAGUGCUGGAAGAGGAUCUUUUUAUUGGUCCCUCGGGGGGGGGGGGGCUCUUUUCUUCUGGCCUCACUCAUGUGCUCUUACAAGAAAAGACCCUAAAAAAGAGAAGACAAAUGACUAGUGGUUUUCUGAAAAAUAUGAUCUGGCAGCCGAGGCUGGCAGGCAGGGACGGGGGGGAAUCGAACCGUAAAGGCAGGAAUCUCUCUCUCUCGUUUUAUGUCUGUUUGUCCAUCUGACCGUCAACGGGUCCAAUGAGUUGUGCGGAAGUCACAAUUAUUCUCACAUCAAGGAGGUUGGUUGUCUACUUACCUAAAAGUAAAGUAUGCUUUGGGUGUUUUUUCCUUUUCCUCUCCUCCCUUAUAUUGUUUGUAAAAUAUGAUUGAACAUGCAUGUGCAGUCGGCGGAUACAAGGUCUAAUGUGGCGCCCUGGUAUCACAACUUCAUUUCCACUAUCCAGUUUGGAAGAAGUUACAGCCUCAGAUUCAUAUGAGACAUUGCAUCCCUGUACUAAGAAACCGAAGGGCUCAGACAGAGAAUCAGUGUACAGGCGUACAGUGAAGGCUGGUUUAAGGUCAGCGUACGAGAGCUCCUCUGUUAUAACGGAGCCGAAAGAGUGAAUCUAAAGGCCCUCAGCUGACAGUUAAGUCCAAACAUCCGACAGUAAGGGGACACAACUGUGAUAGUGCAAAGUUUCCUGUCCCGUGUGCGUGAACGUUUCCUGUCACAUCUGUCUGCCUCUGUGUAAAGUCCAUCCAGAGCGCAGUGGCUCCUGAUCUGGGGCCAGUCAUCAUUUAUCAACGUGCAGCUCGUGUCUCGUUAAUAAUCCUCACAGUCACAGACUCGUUGACAGAUAACAGUCAGAAAUUACACACAGCUAACGAGACCAGAUGUUUGAUCGGUUUCUGAUGAAUCAUAUCUGGUACUGUGUUAACCCCCCCCCCCCCCCCACCACCCUCCCGCCUUCCCCUCUUUCACACUGGGCUAAGUCAUUACAGAUGUCAACUGGUUCCUACAAGAUCCCCCUCUGAUUACAAAGGGCCUGAGAAACUCAACUCAAAUUCAAGUUUUGUCCUUUUUAUUAUUUAUUAUCUAAAAUAUUUAUGUGUUGUCCUCUUGAUGUAAAACAUAAGAUUGAGUUUGUUUACACAAAAUGAAGAUACUGUGUUUUAUCUGUGGUAUUGCAUUUAGACAUAUUUCUAUAAUAUGACAUGAACCACACCAUUGUGAAAUAUAGCAAAUAAGAUCAGAAGAAUAGCAGGAGACCAAAACUAUGUGUAAUAAAAUAUGCAAAUGAUAAAAUCUGUAACUAACGCUAUAGCUAAAAAAAAUAGCUAGGUCAAACAUAUUUGGUUUGUCUUUUAACAAGGUAAGUAAAUGGAAAAUGUUGUAUUUAUAUGCACGAGGACAACAAGAAGAGUCGCUAUGUUCAACAUGUUCCAACAGGUGGAAUUCUGCCUCCGAGAUGAUCAAAUGUGUGUAGUUUUAUGUUAACAAUUAAACAACGGUGUCUAAAAUACACACAUUCUAAAGUGAUUACUACUUAAGAUAUAGUCUGUAGAAGAAAAACAAACAUUCGUUAUAAACAACGUUGUAACAACAACAUUCAUUAAUCGCCAUUAAUCAGGAUUAAUGAAUUUCAAAAUGUGCGAUUAAUUAGACUUAUCUAUUGACAGCCUUACUAUAUAUAUAUACAUAUAUAUAUAUAUAUAUAUAUAUAUAUAUAUAUAUAUAUAUAUAUAUAUAUACACACACACACAACAAUUACCCAUGUUUUGAUUUGGCUGUUUUAUAUUUUUCAUUAACAUGGUGAAGUUGUCAUUUUUUUAUUAAUGUGUUUUGAUAUAAGCAAUUUUAGUGAAAUGUUUUGUCCACCUAGAACCGACGCAUCAACACCGUAGGCUAAAUUCAUUUAUUACCUGCUCCGGCUCGCUCUUCUCUCAUUUAUUUUUCCAAUCCAAGAUGCGCACGAUGAAGUCGUAUCAAUCAUUCCGAAGUGUCAGCUCUCUAAACACACGCCUCAGGCAUGACAUAAAACAUUCUCUGAAGCAAUGUUCAGGUGGGUUAUUCAGCAGUGGGAGAAAACCAAGCUCAGCAGCAGUAAAAAGGCCGAGCUGGGAGAGGCCAACACCACCGUCUUUUGCAAGGCUCUGAAUGCCCUUUGUCUGAACAUUCACGCAGACUCCGGAGUAAAAAUCUCAUUGAACCAUCACCCUUAAUCAAUACCUAAAGGGCCUCUGGCAGAGGACCCGUCCCCUGCAAUCAUUUGAGUGUGUGCUCAGACUACUACAUCGUCUACCUGCGAGAGUGCUGGGUGCGUUGCCUCUCUGUGGUUCGUCCCUCUUUGUGAGUAGCGGCACCUUUUAUGCUUGUGCCCUCCAAACACGACCGAUGGGGACUGAGUGUUUGUAACUCUAUCAGUGGUCCCGCCUGGAGGCGCGGCGACGCUCUACCGAUGAACAGGCCGAUGUUUCUAAAAGAAAUACAGGAUUGAUUGGCAUAAGACAUAUGCAGUAUUCACAAAGUUGCACAGAUAUUACAUCUAUAUGUAUAUAUAUACAUAUCGGCCAGGAACCUACAUCCUCCAGAAGGGGAGUCUGUGGAAUCUGGUCCUCCGACAAGACGAAUGAAUUUAAAAAAAGGAAAUCUCUGCCGAAAAGAGGUGGGAGACGGAGCACUUAGCUGGCGCCUCAUCUGCCAUUAGAUCCCGAUGAAUUGGAUGAUGAGCCAUUUCACGGCGUUGUGUGGGUUGGCAGAUUCUAUGGCACCAAGAAGAUCACCACUCAAGAGGAGAUCCGUUAUGGGACCGUGCAUUUUGCACUAAAGUACACAGAUGCAACGUGUUUCAUUAUUAUGCAUGUAAAAAUGUGGUGGAAAGCCAAAUGCGACGUGAAAUCUUUACUCGGCUUCUAUUUUGUCAGCCUGCGGGAAAAUGCCCACGCCAUCACAACUCUACCCUCAAGGCUGAGGAACUCAAUUUUUAAUUUUUUUUUUUUACUCUUUCAUUUGCAGCUGAGGCGAGAGCCUGACAGGAAGCACUGAAUGAAUUACAUUUCACACGGGGGGGAACUUUUUUUCUUCCUCCUUUCAUCCCCUGCAUGACGCCACGGCUCCUCGUAUGCUCAGAGGCUACUUGGAAGCACUUACUUGUGGGAAGUGAUGCUCGCUGUGGUAAGGAUCAAAGAAUCUAUUCACGGGUCCUUCUGCAAAUGAAAAGGACACCCUCUGAGUUCUGGGAUAAAAGAUGGACUGUUAAAAGAAAAAAGGUGUGGGACGAAAAGGUGGGGUCAAAGAGGUCAAGAUAAGAGCAGCGUCAUUGUGGGAGUCUUUCACCAGAAAGGGGCCGGAGAAGAGAUUCUACGAGGCAGAAAUAUCACUGCCUGCCAGACAAUCAUCCAUUGAUCAUUUGAAUGCAAAUGCACAAGUCUUUUCUUCUGUCCUCCGAUAGUUGCUUUAGUGCAUUAGUUUCUUCUGCUGCCUGACAAAUUGUUUUUUUCUUCCAUUCCUUUAGAGAUGAAGGAACCGUCUUCUCUGGAGCCUCAGUUGUCAUCACAUGACUGAUGAUAAUAAGUACAGAUCAUUAUUGCCUGAUAUCAGGAGGUAAUUUACCAUGUUAAAGUUAGCAAACAGUUGCCUAUUUACACAUCCAGCACUUUGCAACGAUAUCAUUCAUUUGGAGUUGUGUUUCUGUCCAAUGUGCAGACACAUAUUUAGCUAAUCUCUAAAUGCGUCUGCCAUUUCAGGCUGGACAGUUACUGUGUUUAUCUUUAUAAACAGCUGCCUGCUGUGAUUUUUAAAAGUCGCUUGUAAGAAAGGUGUAACUUACUGUGAAAAAACAUAAAAUAUUCAGAGUGGCACACACCAAAGGUUGUGUUAAGGAUGUGCCGUUUUCCAGACGCAUUUAUUUUAUUCUGAUGACGUUUCUGCUUCUUCAAGGCCUUUGCUUUUAGGAUUAUUUAAAAAAGGCUCUUUAGGGAUUUUUAUUUAUAAGUAAUAACAUCAGAAAACCAGUCCAUAUUUAUUUUUCAAAAAUGAAACAUCAGAUCUGCUGAAAUAUUGCCAGAUAGUUUUUCACCUGUGGCUUCGUCACUGCUUCAGCUUCCAACCUUUCAAAUAAUCACGUCAAAAUGGUUGCCUCUUCUCUGAAUGACGUGCGCUCCACUUUUUGAAACGCAUCGCCUUCAAAGACCAGUGGAAUAAUUUCCAAGGCUCUAAAAAGCUCUGAAUUGAUGGCUGUGGGUCAGAGGAUUUUGUCUGCUCCAUUAUAUCCCACACUGGGCUUUUUACUCCCUUUGCAGACCUUUUAAAAUUGACCAAAAAGUGCCUCAUGUAAGGAACAGCGUGUCAAGUCUAUUCUUUUAUGUCUCCACAUUAUGGACUGCUGUUAUUUACACAUUCAAGAGGCUUUGUGGCAUUUGUGAAUAAAUCUGCCCCAUAUCACUGACUGACCCAAUGACUAAAACUUUUCCAGUGAAACAAUAACAUAUACUGAGUCAGUGGAUGGAUGGAGGCAGCUUCCAUAAUAAAUACCAGAGAAGCACCUGAACAAAUGGUCAGGGGACGGGAGGUGGUGGAGUUUAUUGAAUCAGAACUGAUCUAUCUCAUGCAUUAUGGAACUCAUUUGGCUGUAAAAUGUUGGGCAAACAUUGUGCGAAUCCAGAAAAUCCAUUCAGCCAUGCAGCUCCAGGCAGCAAAUCACAAUGGUGUUUUAGAUAAAGGCUUAAACUCUCCACCGUGUGCUCGUUCCUUCUCAGAAAUCUCUUUUAUUUGUUGCCGUAACAUAAUGUAUUUGAUAUUUUUUCCCUCUCAAUGUUCUGAAAUUUAGAAUCUUUCAAAGGGCUCAAAAACGUUUCAUGCUUUGAACUAAAAUCCCCAAAUACUAAAGUUCUUUUUUUACAGUAUAACAAAAACACCAACAUAAGAGCACGGAAUACGCUCACACCAUUUUCCUAACCUGACAAGUAAAGCAUGUGCACGGUGUCAAUAGUUUUGGGGAUGACCUUCAGAGACACACGAAUCACAUUAUAACUUCAAAGUCUUGAUCAAGCUUCAUGAAUGAUUCAUGAGUUCUCUCCAUGGUACAUAAAUGAUGCCAGAUGUUGUGCAGAGUGCCAGACUUAAAUCCAGUCCUGUUCUAUAACGCAUAUGCACAGCCAACCAAAUGUGUUAAUGGAUGCAAACUGUCUACAGUUUUCCGUGGAAUCAUAAAGCUUCGGGCAUUACGGCCUGAAACACUUCAUUCAAUGGGGAGAUCUCCUUUUCAUUGGUGUCAGUGGCCUGUGCUCCGAACCCACCAGCUCGCCAAAUAUUGACAGUUGCAAGCGGGAGAAUUUCUUCUAAUUAAAUAGCAGUCGUGGAAGUUGGAUAACCCAUAUAGAUCUGCUAGAUGUGUAUCACGGAGGAAUGAAACAGCUUCCAGCAAGAGAGGUAAUUUGAUUGACCUUUGAGUGUUUAUAUUGAUCAACGAAUAGAUUUAGAGUGAAUUAACGGUCAGAUUUGAUCUUGCCUUAAUCGACAAAGCAUAUGUUUGUGUAAUUCACCUCCAGCAUUGGGUCUAUAAUGAGGAGCCUAUUUUAAUGACAAUUUCCUUUUAACCGCAGUGAGGAGUUUUCUUUGUAUUCCGUGGUCUUACACUGAUGAAUCAGCAGCAGACUGAAAGCAUACGAGGCCGGAGCAUCGCGGGCUUUUGUGUUCUUGUUGUUGUUGUUGUUGUCGUCUUCAGGGAAAAUAGUCACAGGUAAACCAAAUCAAUUUAUCUUUUCAAGGUUGUUUUUCGGAACCAGAUAAAUUGAAACUGCGUCUGCUGAGUGGAUGUCACAGGGCUGGUAAUUGUCAACAAAAACAAACUUUAAUAAGCAGAACAGGAACACAAUGUCUCAUUUCGAAAAAGGCACUUGAGUAUCCGUUACUCCUCUUUUUUUUGCCAGUUGUGCAACCAACAUAACGUAGCUUAACGCCACUGUGCAAUCUCUGAGAUGACUCAUUUACAAGCAACGGGAUCUGCAGGCGAGACCGUCUGCUCUAAACGCGUUGCGCCGUCUGCUCGUCUGUUGUGCGCGGCCGCGAAUAUCCCAGGCAGCGCGUGUCAGCCGGCAGACGUUGAGGCGAGAUGGAGGAAUUACGUGAUUAACAAGAAAAUAAAAAAUAGAGGGAGUUAACCCAAACGUGAUUGAUACCAAUUAGCUUGCCGCUAUUAGCGAUGUGAGGGGGAACAGACGCCCGAAGGCGGUCUUCAAACGACACGUUUUAAUGGUUUUUGGCACAUCUUCUUUCCGAGCACACAUCGCUGUAUCCAGGGACAAAUUACGGAGAACUUAAGAAGGGGGUUUCUUAGCACCCAAUUUGCUUUUUAGUGCUCACCAUAGCUUCAUUUCCAGGGGGUCAAACUGCUAAGCAGCUGCUCUUUUUUCCAAUGAUGGCGUGUUACGAAAUUGCUCUUUUGGUCAGUGUGCUUUUGCGGUGAGCUACGCCUAAACCACGUUCCAGCGGGGCUCGGCUGAAUUCCCCCUAGACGUGGUGUGUGAUGUCACAGAAAGAAUGACACGAGAAAAUGUUGGGAAAACGUAUAUCGUUAAAUGUCAUCAUCCUGAAUGCUUUUCAUCAGACACACUCGGCACAUUUAAGAUCCCCUUUUUGAUGACGCCCACGUCAGGCCUGGUCCAUUUUAUGGGUCGUUUUUUUCCCACGUUGAAUUAAGGAUCCCAGUCAGAUGAGGUAGUGUUUGCACAAAAUGUAAAUUUCUUUCUUUCAGUUUAAAACACGUGUUCUCAAUAGAACUGUUGCUGAAAUAAGUAUUUUCAAGACUCAACAUUAGGUGAAGAUGUGCCGAACCUACAACUUGACUUCAACAACUUUAUAUCAGGGCAAAAAAAUAAAUAAAUGUGACACUUGGAAUCAGAUAGGGGGCAUUGGAGCCAGUCAUCAGUUCAGCUGAUAAAACCUGCGGUGCAUCCACGCAUGAAAUGGCUCCCUGGUCCGCGCAUUAUAGCUGACAGUGUGUACCUAGACAAGGGCGGAGUGUCUGCGCAUGAUAAUGUAGUCACGCGCGGGAUCAAUGUCUGAGUCACUUAUGAUAUUCAGUGCUCAUAAAUACGCGAGGUGGAGAGGUGGAGAGGUCACCUGGAUAUGGAGUUAUGACACUGGGAAGGAGAGUUGCACGGUGACCUUCUUCCACACGGUUACAGUUACCCAAAACAGUUACCCAAAAGUCAGUCCAGGAGUAGAGGCUUCAAAUUAAAUUUCUCUCAUUCUCAUUUUAAUCUAUAUCAUUUUUUUGUCUUAUAAAAUCUACAACUAGACUGAAAACAACAUUUUUUUCCUUAACUUUUUAUGGCCAACUUCUUAAAAAUAUGUAUCUGAAAUCUUUAGUAGUAACAACAAAAACCUUUUAAAUUACAAAACGGUCUUGCACUUACAUGGGGCUUACUUCAAAGAUUUCUAUAUGAUCUUUGGCAGCAUUAGAGGCACAUCUUUUUUCCUCUCUCCUCCAAAGGAAAACCAACUCCACCUUCGUUUUUAACUUUAAUAUAUUGAGUGAAAUCGCAUGAUGAGAAGCCCGGGGAAGUUUUUGACAGAGACUCAGAGCAGAGCUAAUGGCCCAUUAAGCGGAAAAAGCUGCUUUUGAUGUGACUGACAGAGGGAAGGGAGAAACAUCCAAGUGACUCAGAGCAUAGAGGCCUCAAAAGAGAGAAAGAGGAGUGAAGGUGAAAACAAAACCACAAAGCAAUCGUUUCCUCAACAUCAUCUGCUUAUGAUGGGCUUGCAGUACAAAGAGUGUCCUUGAUUAACGCAGACACGCUGUGAGUUUAAGAUCUUGUUAACUGUUUGGAUGUGCUGAUGAGCUCUGACCGAGCCUGUGCACAUAUUUAAUGCUCACCAUUAGCAUUUAAAGCAUUGUCUGGCCUCUAACGGUCAUUAUCAUGUCAACACUGUGACGCUUGCUGAUGAUGGAAGCCGCGUGCCUCCUACAUCGUGCUUGAAUCAGAUAUAUAGACUAUGCAUGGAUUAGGAAUUCAUUUGUAAAAUAUAUAUAUAUAUAUAUAAAGGCCAUUGCUAAAAGCAUUUUGGUGCUGCUAUCCGGAUAUCUAAAGUCUAUUUGGCACGUGGACAUGAGGUGGAAGCCAGAAGCACCGGCCGAUCACGGCACGCGUGGACGGAGAAGCUACAGGUGAUGCUGCUAAUGACAUUUAAUGCUCCACGUUAGCAGAAUAUCAACUAUCGAUCGCUCUAUGUCACCCGUGUGCCAUCUAUUCUCGUUGAUCCUCUCUCCGAUUCCACAUCAGUUUUAGUCACAUGAAAAGUCUUGGUUAUAAAACAAGAAACUGAUCAAGCGUUUGAAGGAUAAUUGCAACGACCGUAGCGGCCUAUCAUGUUCUAAAUCCUUGUAUUCCUUCUCUCGUUUUGAUCCAAGGCUCAGUUGUAGAAUACACCAGGGUUUAAUGGAAAAUCAAUCCCAGUUAUUCCACUGAAUGAUAACAGUAAACUGUGUAUUUAAAGAUACUUGAUCAAAAUACACCUUAAUAAUUAUAAUUAUGAAUUUGAAUUUCACCAUUGAAUAAUAGCUAGGAAUCCAGAUGGCGUUCAUCAUAAAUUCACCUGCCUUCAUGCAGACACACCUACACAGCUGAGCUCAAACCCUUCUAAUUGAUCACAGGUGUUAUUGCCACUACACAAUCUGUCCUAAUGAAGAUCGGUUGACAAAACUCAAUAUCUUUCGUUGCCGGAAAAAUAAAUAAAUCACAAUUCAUCUCGUUUCAGCACUUCACUUUGGACUAUUUUCAUUUUCAGUGGAUUUGCCAAUUUUCUCCAACCAAUCUAUGAAAAAGCCCACAACAGAAAUACAAUCUGCCCAAUUGUCCCUGAGUCUGAGCUGUUGAUCUUGAGCAAACACAGAAGGAAUCUACCUGCUCCACUUGGGGUUCAGCAUUGCCGCGUUUCCUCAUUACUUUGUUAAAUCGAUCGUCAUGGUCAUGACUGGGUCAUGGUUCUGUAACAAUACCUGAAUAUAACCCACGUAGAGGUAAACGGCGCCCGUGUUCCGCCGUUGGAAGUGACGUCACGCAAUAACUGAACUCAGGUAGGCAGAGAGAUGUCAUUAACACGCACUGUCCCUUUCUCCCCUAAAGCCUCUAUAGACGUUUUACUCUAUUGCACGUUUUACAUUCGGCGAAAGGAAUCACAUGUGGGACAAGAAGGGUAAAAAAAAAAAAGUACCGAGGCGGGGGAAGAUAUUUUUAGGCAGAGAGAAGGGUAGAGGAGGAAAGGAAGAGAUGACGGCUUGAUGGUGAGAAGAUAAUGAGGAAUGACAUACUGCUCAACAAAAUGUCAUCCCUCAGACGGUGGUCUGGGGAGCAUCGCUGCCAUUUCAGUGAGAUUGUUGCUAUAGAUGAGCUUCACCUACAAAGACAUCAAUUCCUCCGGUGCAGCAUUUCCUGGAUUCCAGGGCGAUAGGAGGCAGGCUUUUAAAAACGCAGCUUUGAAAGCAGACGGAGUUCCAGCUCCGGCGAGGCUGCUUUUGCAUUGAGACGAAGGUUGAAUAGGAAAAGAGUGCAUGUAUAUCUUUAGAUCAAGAUUUUUUUUUUACAUACUCUGAAAAAAGAAGGGCACUGUAGCUUUCUGUCUCGCGUGACGGACCCCUGCGGUGAAACUGAUCGUUCUAAAAACGGAUUGAUUUGCUUUUGAUAAUCUGGUAAAGGUUAUCUGCUCAUACUUUGUCAGCGAAGCCAAUUCUGUCUGAAGUGUUAUUUUUCCGCUGUUAGUUUUUUAAAGACACAAAGGAGUCGAUUAAAGGCGAUGAAAGGAGUCACAUGGCUAUUCUCCCGUGUGUCUUUGAAAAUCAAACAAAACUUUGUACAAACAAGGCAAAGCCAGCGAAAGGUGUAAGACAGCACACGGACCAGCACAAUUUAAAACCAUAGAUGUUCCAUUUCAAAAGUUCACAGCGGGGGGUCAAAUAACUGCGCUUUGUUCUCUCUAGUGGUAAGGGGAAAUAAAUGGCUUUCAAAAAUGUCAGGCUGACUCCUGAAUGAGACGGGAUGCUCCACAGGUUCUCUAACAGUGAGGAAAUGGGGGAACUCCUGCGGAGCACCAGCGUUUACCUUUUAAAUUCAAGUUGCGCAAGCAGUGUACGUAUUGGAAAAUAUAAAAGGGUGUGGCAAAAUGCUACAAGCUGUACUUUCACACUAACUUAAUCCUCAAGCAGGAUACGUGGGAAGAAACCAUUAACGGUGGAAGGCAGGAAAUGGACACAUGGGUGAGCAGAGCGGCUAUGAAAAAUAGAUGUUUUCGUACAAACUUGGAUAUUUGGAUGCCUAAAUUGAUUGAUGAAUGGAUAACCCAUACUGAUACAUGGUGAUGGUAUAGACAAUUCAAAUCAAUGGGUAAUGUCACAGUGUGGUUCACUUCCUGUCUUAUUUUGUAGUUUUCUGCCACUCGUGUCCCCGGGUAACUUCACUUCCUGCCUUGUCCCGUCAUCCCCUGUGAUUGUCUAAUAGUUUCCACCUGUGUCCAAUCACCUGCACCUCCCUUGUGUAUUUAAGCCGUGUGUCUCUUGUGUCACUUGUCGCGUCUUUGUCUUUUGUCGUGGAUGUUAGUAGGUCCUGUCUGCCGUUUUUCCCCUGAUUCCUGUGUGUUUUUGGCCUUUUGACUAUUAAAGUCUUUUUCCUGCCUCCUCCACGCAUCCCUUGACAGGUAAUUGACUUGUAUGAGGAUAUGGAUGUUUGAAUGGGUGAAACUUAAGGGUUAACAGGAAAUACUAUUUGGUUUUUAAUGUUGCCAGGUUUUGUAUAUUAUCAAAAAUCUUCCAAUGUUUCACUCAAACCUUUCCAUAGAUCCAUGUUUCUAAAACAUUCUCCAGUCGUCUUCAUAGAAAUGGAGAACUGCUCGAUUUGUUACCCAAACCUCAACUUGAUGCAAAUGAGCACGCGAGGAGUUCAUUAUUUAUAAUAAUUCAUCUACAUUUUGUAGAAAUGUGUUUGCUGAACAAUGAAAUAUUUAUCAGCACCGGAGACCAAGGACAUUUUGAUUGACAGGGUUAUAUUUAAACAAAGCCGGUGGUUAAUCACUUAUCCCCCCCACACAAGGACACACCGCUUGGUAUUUGUUCGCUAUGUCUAAUUACACAGAAUUAAAUUCCAUAACACAUUGUAAAAACAGCGGCAUUUCAGACCUGGAAAGAAAUACUGCAUAACAUUUUUGAAGGAAGUGAGGUAACUCAAUAAAAUAAUUGUGUUUUCUGCAGUAAUAGACAAAAGGAUCAGGGCUUCCUCCUCAACCAUUUCAGCGCAAUCUAUAAUGACACAGACUAGUUCAAUAACCACCAUCCAAAUCAUUUCAUGCUAAACUUUUGGACAAUUUACUUUUUCAAAGAUCAUUUCCUUAAUAAAUGUUAAUCUUGUUUUAAUCCAUAUUGGUUUUGGACUGACAAACCGCAGGGAAUGAUGUCUUUAUUUAACGGGCUGUUGGCAGGAGAAGAGUCAGCAAAAAUGGUUUUACAUAAUGAUAAAGAAAACUACACUUUUCCAGAUAAGCUUUAGAAAGUGCAGCAUGAAAUGUCUUUGCCAGGGUGGAGGGAUAAUCUGUAGAUGCAUGAUGGGUGGAUGGAGUGAUGGAUCAUCUGUAGCCUCUUGAAUAUAAUGAAGGAUUGCAAUGAGAAAAAUAGGUUUGCUUUUGUUUUUGGGUUAUGAAUUUUCUGAACAAAUACGUUUUGUUUUGUAGUUCCCCUUUGGUUCGUUGUUGUUGUGAAUGCCACACACAGGGAGCUUUAUCUGUGUGGUGGGUGGGGUGACGUGCCGGUGACUGAUGGAGCUCCUUCACAGAGUUGACACCGGAGUCAAGCGGCCCCCUAAACUGAUAAGGAAUGAUAGAACACCUCAGAUCAAGUCCAUUGAAAUUCAGUGUCACCAUGUUUUGAGCUUUGCACCGCUAUCUUCACCUGUUCGUUCCCAUAUUUACCUGAGAUGAGUGAUUUCCCAAAGAAGCACAACCUUGUUCUUUGUUAGUGUAAGACAAGAGAAGCCAAACGCCAGACAAACUUGCUCAAAAGUUUCAGCACAUUAUUUCCCCGCGAUAAUCUGUCCCUUGUUGAUUCCAGCGCGGCCGGCGGCCGUGAUGCGCGUUCUUAGCUUCCCGGGGAACGAUCAGCGGGGAGGUCGCCUCCAAUCAUUUCGUCUCCGCUGGACUAGAAUUCAUGACGCGCUCAAUUGAAACUUUCCAUCUGUGAAUACUCUGCACCAUAAAAUGCUGCUCACAGGAGGUGCUUAAAAAGUAACACCUGCUUUCCCCCCCAGUUUCGCUCAAAAUGAGCUCCCCUCGUUUGUUUCUGCCUGCUGAAUCGCUGACUGCCGCCGCAAGAAAGCUUGAUUUUGAAAUUGUUGUGCAAAAACAAACUUGGGAAAUGUUUUAGAGCAGACAUCCUCACGGGCUCAAAGACGUGUGAAUGGAUAUGCAUUACACACCAGGUUUCACCAUCAUUUGAAUUUUUACGAUUUUUUUUUUUCCCUAUGGGUCCAGAUGGGAAAUUAUACUUCCUGAUGAUUCACUUUUUUAAUUAUACAACAGCCAAGGCUGUUUGUGAGAUGACAGUUUGGAAAGAGCCGUAAUUCGGAUGAUGCUGAAAUGGAUGAUUAAGAAUCCCCACAUACUCUCCAAGGUUCUUUUCGCAGGAGACUUUCAUAUGACAUUAUCUUUGUUUGUGAAGGUUCAUUACUCGUCAAUACAGUUGCUUGUGCAAAAACCAAGUCAGAUCUGACUCGAAAUUGAAUAGUUCUGCCUCAAAACUAGCAGCAGCAGCACGAUGCACCGCCAAUUGAAGAGCAGCGGCGAGGACACAGCACAAUGCUCUAAUAUUAAAUUCAAUGCUUUUCACAGUUCACUGUCCAUAGGCCCUCCGGAAACUCAUUUUCCCUUCAGCGAUGAUUGAUUCCCCCCACGAUCCAAGUUGAUGGCAAGUCUCCUGGGAUCCACUGGGGUGUUAGACGUAUUAACACAGAGACCUACAGCGACGGAGCAGUGCCCUACCCAAACCCAAUUACCACGGAAGUAGGUAUGACCUGUGUCACUCUAUCCCAGCAUCAAGUGCGGUGUAAAUGAAUCCCUCCAUUUUGGGGGGGGGGGGGGGAAGGGGGUCGGAGUCCUUGGAACUUUGCCAAAGCCGUCUUUGUCCGUAUUACAGCCCAAAAAGCUUCACAUGGUGUAUCCGUACCGCCUGUGUUUCCCCAGCUUUCAUCCCUCAAUAUGUUUCUUUCAUUUUGCUCCUCUGAUGUUUGUCUAUUCUUACCAUCAAAGCCUAGUCCAAUUAACUCACUACAAUAUUUGACUAUAAAUGUGGUCAAAAUAAAAGAUUUUAUUCUUGUGCAGAGAUAUUUGGUACCCUAGGAUCUGAUCUCGUCUCUAGGCCGGGCUUUGAAGGGUAAAGAUUGAUGAGGCUGAUGACAGUAUUUGGAAUGAUGGCAAAUAAAUCGUUAAAAUACUACUCAAGCUUGUAGUCCUUCAUCACAAAUUACAUCCCUUAAAAUGAGAUUAACAAGAUUAACCAGCCAUCACACCUUUCACUGCAGCAAUUUUUAGCUCUGCUCCACACCCGGAAACAAACUGGGGAAAUGACAGUUAAAACCAAAAGCUGGCGUUACAGAAGCCACGUGACAAUUGUACUUUUCUUCACUUUACUUUUCUAUAUUUACAGAGGUCGUAUUUUGAGUUAACACUUUUACUUUUAGAAGGAACAAAUACCAAAAGGCUAAAAUAGACUAUUUCUGCUAAAAAAGAAAUAAGGAAUCUUCAGGGCAGCACAGGUAAAUUACACAUAAUUGCAAAUUAGUUUGUGCUCAUACAGUAAUUCCUCUCAAAGUGUUGUGUUUGGCUUGUUUGAGAGCCAUAAAUGUGGGUUUAUGCUUAAAAGGUUUGGGGCACAACACUUAUUUCAGCGUUUUCACAUUUUCUUUCAUCUCGUUAUCUUCCCUACCGCUCAUAUUCACGACUCCUGUAAUGUGUAAUAAGAGCCGUGACUUCUGGGUGAUCAGCAGGAAUAGCGACGGCUGGGGCCUUCAAACCGGCAAUUUGGUGCUGAAGUACGCACUAACGAUAAGGUAUGAGCUCCAAUAAGAGUGCAACAUACGAGCACCGCAACAGCUAAUGGGCUGAAACAAAAGCAGCGGAGUCACUUUGGAUGUCAGCAGAAGGAAAACAGAAGGGGAGGAUAAACAGCUGAUGGGGACUACAAACAGACCGAGACACAACUCGCGUCCAUGAAAACUGGCAUUCCGUACAAUUUGCCACAACAUUAGUUCCAACACAAUCGAGUGAGCGCAAUGGCAUUGGUAAUUAGAUUUGCUUAGAUGUACGAAAGCAGUCGCCAGCGGCUGCAGGGGGAAAUUUCCUUUCCGCCAAGGUGAUUUUUAUCGACGGAAGUGGAAGAUGUGACAGCCAGACAUCUUCGACGUGGUUAGGGGCCGACGCUUGUCUUUGAAUCUUCACUGCCGAGACGGCCACGAUAACCUAUUAUGAACACUGCUGUUGGGGAUACAUUGACACAUAAAUAGAUGACAGUAUUAGGUUUUAAAAAAAAUCAAUGGCCCUAUGAAAUAUAUAUGCCUUUUAACUCUGACUUAGUCCGGGCAAACAAAAGUGUUACAGCAAAAGAAAGUAGGCAAGUAGUGUACAUUUACACUCCCAGCAUCCCUCGCCUUCCAAAGGCUCAAGUAGCCAAAGUGCUUUCAUUUUCAGCAAUUUCGACCGCUGUGAGGUGACAUUUCUCAUGAGCAAUAAGAUCACCUGAGCUACGACAACUCUUUUUCCGCAGCGCUGUUCAACGCGCUGGAUGACUGCCUCCGCCUCAGCAAUCCGUGCUGACACGUUUAGCCGGCGCAUCUAUUUCCCCCCCGUGCUGAGGGCGUAAAGACUUAAAGGUUUGGAGGACUGGAUUUACUCAGAGGCAAAAUGGGACGCGAUGAGCCAAUGAAAACCGCUUGUGCUGAGGAGGCAGCGGCCGUCGGGUGGAAGCCCCCUUUGAGACUGACUGUGCAUUAGUGCCUCCUUAGUGGUAAAUGUGUCCCUCUGUCUGCCACGGCCAGAUUGCUCUGCGAGCAGUCAGUCUUCCUCGUGAAGAAGAAGCCUCGUGCUUGCGGCUCACUUGUUAAGCCCUCAACAUAUGUGUUACCUUGGGGAGACGUACACCUCUUCAGUGCGUCACGUAUAAAUAAAACGUAAUGCAUGUCUGCAGGGGCAACAGGUUCAGUCCCUAUGGGUUGGAAGGGGUAAGAGGAGCUAUUUGAGUGGCUUUGAAUAGUGUGUUUUGCCGCUAAUUGAACUGGUUUAAGAAUCAAAAGAUAGACGUGGCCUCAUGGGGUCAUAACAAAUGAGAGGUGUCUAUUAGCAUUAAGGGAAGGAUGCUGUUCUUACCACAGUUAGAGACCAUAAUGAGGAUAAAUCAGAUCCAUUAUGUCAAACCAAAUGCACUCACGGUUCACAUGUUAAACACAUCAGGGAAGAGCUGGAUCCGAAUGUGGGAUAUGAAGUAAAUAACCUAUAGAAUACCGGGGAGUGAAUUUAAGAAACAAAAAGGAAACCAAACGAUAUUCCUUAAACCCUUUUCGCUUAUGUGUUGGUGCCUCAACCGUUAUCCACUAGAAGCUGCAAAAAAGGCUGUGUGAAUUUGUUGUAACCAGAAAUGCACAAAUUGCAUUUUGGUUGAUAAGCCCAGAAGCGUCCUGAUGUCAGCAGCAUAAGAAGUCUCUAAAUACAGACGCCGCAGCACAUUCCUGGUGGGGCGUCAGUGACGAUUGAGAGCGCUUCCUUCUGCAUGGUAUUUUAUUCUUAUCGCCAGUUCACAGUAAAAUGAUUAUUAACAUCUCACACCAGGACCUGCAACUUCUGUUCUCACACUCGCGAUUUGCGGCUUCAUUUAAAGAAACUGGCAUCAAACUCCAACUGGCAAAGAUAAAGUUGUUCCUUUUGGGGAGCAGUCGUACGUUGCCUCCAUCCGUUAAAGCUCAACCACCUGGGAGCCACAGGGGGGAGUCUGGCAGAUCCAAAAGGGAAGUUAAGAAGAGUUGGCACCUCAUCGUCAGAGUUUCUUUAGAUACGAGGUGUUUCUGCCACGAGAGAUUCAAUUGAUUCCAGCGGCUCGUUUCUGUUGCGUGUGGAAAGCCACAGUCACCACAGUGCGUUAUUAAGGCAAACAAUACAGCGUUUGACCUUUCAGACCCCCUAUUAAAGGCCUUCUAGCAUCCAGUACUAAUUCCCUAUGACAACAAAAAUAUAUUUUCUGUUUGGAGGUUUGUUUAUCUGACAGAAAUUGAAAUAAUGUUGUUAAUAUAAUAGUUAGAUUUGUAUUAUCUUAACUUUCAAGUACUAUGCAUAUGGAUGCUUGCCGUCUAAUAUUUAAUCUUGUAAAAGGCGGCAUGUCAGUGAUUCCAGAAACGGGACCGGUUUGCCGGAGGCCAUCAUCACACCACUCCGUAUGAACGGUACAUUUCCAACACCUCCGUGAAUCCAGGCCUGAGUGGCCACACAAUCGCACACAACGGUUUGUGUUGAUUUUUCCUCCAAAUGUCAGGCUACGCGAGCGAUCAAGGUGCGAUGCAGGACGUCUUCAUGCAACAAAACUACGUGGGUAGAAACAUCUCCUCUUGGCCGCCAUCGCACAUGUGUGACUGAAGCAGCAGCAUCGUUGCAAGCCUUUGCAUUGAUAGAGUACCGUUAUAUUGAAUAAUGUUGACAUGUGAAAUGCAAUAUGAAUGUUUCAUGUUUGCAUUGCACUAAAACUAGAACGCUCUCCAGAAGAAAGAGGGAACGAGGUCUGUUUUCAUGUUUCCAGGCCUGCAAAAAACACUUCCGCUGAGAACAAACAAUAAGGCAAUAAAGAAAUUCUCCCGGGGAAUCGCAGCUUCAAAAGAAAGGAUAUGUUAACAGUGCGUGCCUGAAAUGGUUAUUGAUUUUAUGCUCGUGUGAAACAAGUACAGACGCUCUUAAUAAUUACGAUACUCCUAGAUUUAAUCUGGUCAACAGGCAAAACAAUCAAUACAUUUUCAUCUCCAUCAGGUCCUGGUGGUGUAAUGCUGGCUCUCAUUUCUUCAUCCCACCUAAGACCCCAUUUGAGAAGAUUUUCUCUGCUUUUGGGAGCACUCUGAUUUUCAUCACUUUUUCUACUGCGCUGGAGUUUUUUUCACGCUCUGCUUGUGUCAGCAUGUGCAAUCCCUGUACUUCUAUUCUUCCAUGGAUCAAUGUCUGCAUCAGGUUAUAAAGAUGAAGAAUCGUGUAGUAGGGUUCGUAUUGUUAUUACGUUUAUUUUUGAUGAUGAUGAAUGUAAAACUAUUUCAUAGUAGAUUACUUAAGUCAUUCCAUUACGAGAACAUGUAACACCUGUUUCCCACUCCCAGAAAAAGUAAAAGAUUGUCAUUACAUUUACUGAACGCAUGAAUCUUGACUACUAAACAAUAAAAGCUUUCAGUUAAAUAAAUGAGCACCUGUUCUUAAAGCCAGUGCAAACUUGAAAUUCUUCAGUCCUCUGAGAUGAAAACAGGAACAUCUUUACGUUUUAUAGCUCAGUAGUCAGUGGAACUCAUUAGAUAUCCAACAACAUGCUCUUGCUACAUCAUUUAUUCUCAAAGAAUGGGUCAUUUGUCAGCAUCACCAAAAACAUUUGCUGAAUUUCUUCCACAGUAUUUUAUUCAACACAUAUAACCGUGUUACGUGUCACUUCCCCCCCCAUCCUGGUGUCCCUCUCCCUCCUUACAGGUGCGAUCCCGGUGAUUGGGUUCCACCUGCGCCAAUCAAACAACAGGGCGGGGCUCGGAAAUUAAAAGGAGGGAGACGAGGCUGAUGCUGAUCUGCGUGAAUGAAUGUGGACGUUGUGUUGUGAAGGUUUGUGGAGGACCAGGUGAGUCUCAGGUACUCUAUACGUUGCUAUUGAGAUAUCUGACAAGGAAAGUAAAUUGUGUAAAAUUGCCAUCAGUUGAAGUGACUUCCUGUGGGACAAAAAGGAAACGUAACAAUCCGCAAUAGACCUCUGAGCCACAAGAGGAAGCUGGAAUCUUUGAAUCGUUCUGAUUAUGUUGCCUAUUUAUAACCUGGAAUCUAAAAUGAAAUGCUAGCAUACAAUUGGUUUAAUGUUUGAGAGGAAAUUAAAAGAAAGACGGCCUGUUAACUCCAGUAGGUUUUAUUUGGUCUUCUGUAUUUUAACGUAUGUCUUUAAUAGCACACACAUACAACAAAGCUGUGAAUUAACGAACAUACAUGCUUUAAAAAAAGGCUGGUUUACCUAUUCUAAAUAAUAUAUAUGGUGAUGUGGAAAUACCAGUAAAUGGUCAGGGAUAUUUAUUUAAUGGUACCGCUUCAGCCAACAUGUGAAGUGCUGGAGAUUAUAGAGACAUAGCUACUUGGUCAAUAAAUACAGUCUGUACGAAAGAAGCCCAAUGUAAAGCCUACUUUGUAUACUCCUUUGUGAAUUCAGUUCUUGACAUCUGAAAAGUCUUAUGCAACCUGGCUUGAACAUUUCUGUUUUUUGUUUUGCCCACACAAACUUACAAAUACUGGUGUAUCGAGUGUCCGUCGGGGAGCGACUCACGGAAAGUUUAGGUCGGCUUUAAAGGCAAAGAGUGGGCCGCGCUAACACCCCCGAGGACUCCACCUCACAUGAAUCCAGUACCUGAGCCCGCGGGGGGCACGCCUGUUAACUGGAACCUCGCGUGUCAGCGGCUAUGUGUCUGUUGCGAACCAAUAUCCUCCCGGGCAAUAACGCAUUUGUCAUGAAAGAAUGGUUGCUACGGUUACCGCGGCUGCAGGCCAGAAGUCUCUGCACGAAAUACCUCCCAGUGUCAAGUUCUGUUGAGCGCAUCGACCGUUUGCGCGUGCAUAUCGAGUUCAGGACCACGAUACGGGUGGAGAGAUGCCCCGACCCCACCCCCCGGAGGCAGUCGGAGGUGGGUGGAGGGCUCCUGCUGAGACCGCGUGACCGCAACGCCGCCUCACCUUUGCGCCCAGCUCCAGCCACCCAAGGCCCCUCGAUUAUCACCCUGAUGAAUUGCAUCCAUCAAGCGCUGUCAAUUACGAUUAUUAAUCUGUUCUCCAUCCGCACGGCCGCCACCUCACCUGCAACCUCGCCCCUCCCCCCCCCCCCCCCCCCCCCCCCCCACACACUCGUCCUCCGUGGACGCAAAACGGCCUGCCUGUCGGCCGCUAAAUCAAAUUACCUCUGAAUAACUGAUGGUGUGUCCAAAUCCAUUGCUCCCGAUAGCUGCAACCAUGCCCCUAAUCCCCCCCUGCUGUUGGCUCAGAUGAAAACGGGGGGGAGGGGUAGUCCAAUCGAUAAGGACUCAAACUGGUUGUGACAGACUUGGCUUUUGUUAGCCAGGGCGAGAUGGCGUCUCCUUAUUGGACUUCAGGGUGUCCCGGGAUGCUCUGACGUGGUAUUUCCGUUUCAGACGCCAUGUGCUCUCUCCCUGCUGGGAGGCCAGUCGCUGCACAGACUCCCGACAGGAGUCCAAGCAACUCUUGGCGGACCCCAAACUACUCCUUUCCUUCAGCAAAUGAUUGCUCAUCGCAAAGGAAAUUAACACUGGUUGGAUUUAAAGAACAUCUGCGAAGCAAAUAUUCUGAGGCUUAGCAUUUUAAAUGAUCAAGGGUCAGCGCAGUGAAACAUGUCUCCCGCCACCCGAAUGUGUGCUCUCUCUCAGAUGUGCACUUUGUAAUUCAGUCACUCCCCUCGUUUUCAAACGUCUGCCUUGUCCCUGGAGCUCUCUGUCCCAGUAUUGCCGUCCCGAGCCGCCUCAUUAAUGAACUGUAAAUACUCUGCCAUGCAGCGAAAUUGAUUGACUGGUGAGCACACCAGCACUGGGAGGCAAAAAGAAAAUGGUGUAACCGGAAAAACAAGUUUACUUUCUGUUUAGUUUAAUUUAUAACACUCGAUUCACAGCUGUCUUUGCUGUAAUGGGACGUGUUGUGUUUAUGGACAUAAAUGUGUUUGCCAUCUGCAAUACCAUAGUACACAGUAUACCUAUCAUACACGGCGAGCUGCUUAAGCGUGUUUGUCUUGUAUUAGCUGUCCUCCGUCGCCUUGUCCCUUCACACUCAGACCCCGAAUCCAAUUAAUGGAACUAAAAACUGCUGCGUAUCUCUGACAGCCCGUCAUAUUUACAACGGGUUGGCGGUCUGAAGCGGGAAGUGAUGGCCAGCCAAGUCCCCGUCGAGGCAAACAUUCUUGGCGGUACACCACCCUACUUAAAAGGGCGCAUGAAGAGGAUUGCCCGAUGGCCAAUUAUCACCGGCAGCCUCUCCCUCGAUGAUUCUUGUAUUAAUGAAUGGUUGACGCUGCUGAUCCGACGUGGAUUUAAACGAAAUGCUAUUAAUCGGGUUUUAUGCUGUCUUGCCCAAAACCAGUUUCCAUCUCUCGAGGAGCAAUUGUUGCCAAUAUUUUUCUGGCUUGAGGCUCUCAGUUUUUUCAGCGAGCGCACUAAAUGGCUUCUGCAAACUGCCAGCUGACCCAGUGUGGGUGGAGGGCAUCCAACGUGGUAACAUUUUAUGUUCAUGCACCAACGAUUCACCAUUUUCAUUUCUCAGACAUCAAUGUUCUUUUAAAUCUAUUUGUAUGUCCAAAAAGUCUUCGGUUUGUUCUGUUCAACCAACUCGUCCAACCCCCAGAUAUCUAGUUUUCUGACCCAUUACACAAAGAGAAGGAGCUACUCCUCAUGUUUGAGUGGGAAACAAAUCCACAGGAUUCAGUUACUUAUUAUUUCAGGAAAGUGGUGCACAAAGCAGCUAAAAUAUAUAUUUACUAAACCGGGCUAAACUACCUUUUAAUAUUGGAAAUGCAUUGAUUUAGGUGGAGGAAAACAUCACUCCAAAUAAAUCCUAUUGAUGCUACAUGGCUGUUGGAUGAGUAUAUGGCCAACAUUAUAUCAUUACCAAUGUCUUUAGUACCAAAUAGUCCUUCCUUCGUCUCAUCUUUUGCACAGAUGAUACAACCUGGUGCUGGUCAUACGACACCUUUUUGUCCUUAUUGAAUGAGUUUUAUCUCCAGACACUUGAAAUAACUCCACUUAGCAAUUGCAUGCCGGGAUUUUUCAUAAUAAACAGCCUUUUUGAAUCCACAUAUCCACAUAUGCCCUUGCAAAAUAUAACAAUAAAAUAAAAACUAUCCUGUGAAAUAUUUUCCUGAUUUCUUGGGGUAAAGGAGAGCCAUUUAAUCAUCAAGACACUUUGCCCUUAGCUGAUCUAUUAACAACACAUUUGCAGUCUAACUUUUUUCCACCCCUUUAACUCAUUGUAAUGACAGCAUGAUGUCAUAGUAACCACCACUCGUCGAUGAACAUUACCAUUAAUGUUGUGUUCAGGGGGGGGUUUCAGUGGAAAAUGGACUGUAAUUCUUUAACAGUUACUCACUAAGAGAUUGAUCCAAAUGAGCUGUAAAAUGCGGACUUCAUUGGGCAUCUAAUGGACGCUGACAGAAGAGAGAUAUAGUGGUAUUAGUUUGCAUUAAUGGACACUUUAAUCACUGCCUGUUGAGGCAUAUGUCAUUGUUUAAUGAUGCUAUGGUGCAAUUCUGAGCUGCCAUUAAUGUGUUUUAUUGGUUUACAGUCUUUUUAUUUCCGUCAUGGGCAAUGACAUGUCAUCCCUGUCAAAACUGUACUCGGCUUACUGAAAUACACAUAUUUCAUGUGUGUGUGAUGGUUUAAUCCAACUGUGGAGGUUAACCUGGUACAUCUUGGGCCUUUACAGGACGGCUCAAGGUUGUUUCCAGAAAGAUUUCCACCUAAAACAUGAUCCGUUUCAGGCUUCAUUACAGUGCAAAGUCACCUGACUCCUUGACAGCAGGCAGCUGUAGUUUGUGAAGAAUGUGGGAUGGGAAGGUAAAAAUAAAGCCGAUGAAGAGUAAAGAUGAAUCUGAAAUACAGUAGCAGCUACAAGGUAAGACAGUGGAGAAAUCUGCAGUGGGGAAGAGCUUCGGUUCUCGUCAACAGAUGUGUCACCACGUCGUCAAACUGCAUGACGGGAGGAGGAGGGAAGGAAAGAGGCAGAUCAGUUACAGCACAUGUCAGGCUGGGUGAACUUCUUCUUGAGUAGAAAAUAAGAUGCGGGGAAGUGUCAUCCCAUCAACAUUAGCAGUCUACGGUCAUUUCAAGUAAAAUGAUCAUAGUAUGAAGUUGCUAAAGCUGCACACAUUAACUAUGUCCAUUACUUAGUGGGAUUCAAAGUCAAGAGGUAAUGGACAUAUUGCAACCUGCAGACAGUAGAUACCUCUGCAUGUUUAUUUACAUGCCGAUUCAUCAACAUAUGUGUGUUUGAGUCUGAUGCUAGUGGAGAUUGCUGCGUUGAUGGGACCAUUUCCCACGAUUGUACAAUAGUUUCCAUACCGUUAAUUCAUUGUUUAAUCACGUAAAGUCAACCUUUUACAGGCACUGGUGGCCACAUAUCAAUGCUCGCUCACUGACCGUGAAGUGAACGGCUCAGUUGCAUUUCUCAAGGUUUUACUUUAUUCUCAGUUUUCUUAUUUUGUAAGAAUGCUAACGUUUUCUUGCUUCACUUUCAGUAAGAACUAUAGGAAACCAAGGUUGAGGUUCAUAUUGACUUUUUGCAUAUCAUGCAAAAAAAAAACAUUCAUAUCAUCCACCACUGAUAUACAAAAAAAUAACUAUCUUUGGAGUUAAUGAAGCCUGAUAACUUGUGUUGUCUUGUGUUCUGAAUUAAAAUGAUUUUAAGGACGAGAGAUUAUGUGUGGAGGCUGCAUCAUCUUUUACAGGAAGGAGGCUUAAUCUGCACUUCACUCAAAUGUAGACAUUGAUGGCAGCUUUGAUUUCCAAAUGGUCUGAGUCCCAUUACAAUAUGCUUCUUAACAUUUCUCAAUAGAAAUGUGCGGAAUCCCUGCGGCAAAUGACUAAAAGGGUUGCGCCUAAACGUUUGAGAAAAAUGUGUUUUAAAAAAUAUAUAUAUUUUUUUAUUAUUUGGCUCUCAGGGCUCCUGCAACGUCCCAUCUGUGCCGCCCACUUAAAAAGUUCCGAAAAGAAAUUCGAUCUUAACUCUCUGGAAGCUGUUACACAGCAGGUAAGAAUGCCGUUAAAGUCCAUGGAAGAAAUCAUUCAGGUUCAAAAUUCCACUCUGCCACUUUUACACAAUGGCACGAAAUUACACCCUAAAUUACAUUUAAUGGCAAAGACUUUUUAACGGCAAAGAAUGCCUUUUGAAAAGGACGUAAAGCAUUGAUUGAAUACUGAAUGUGAGGCAUUGGAUUUAUUGCGAUAACGGAGAGCAAGCACGACUGAGGAAUGAAUUCAGUGGAAUUUCUUCCCCCACAAUGAGCAGCAUAUUAUCCAGAGUGAGGCUUUGAAUGGAAAACCUCCGCCUGUAAAAGGACAGCGAUUGCAGACCUCCAGCAGGAUGAUGUCGUGACAUUAGAGACGCUCAUUGUUCCGUGCGCAGAGGGCUCCACCGCGCUCAUCGCGUUCCAACCAUGCCGACAGAAGGGCUGACAAAUCCCGGGUCAGAACCACCUGAUCUAUGGAUCUAUGCAGCAUCAGACAAAUGAGUCGAUUUUUUUUUUUUUCUCUUGACCUUUAGCUACGACGGCAGAGAAAAGGGUUGAAAUAAAAACGUCGGGAAAAUAAAAUAAAUCAUUUUGUGCUGUUGUUGGCUGCGAUUAGAAAACAAUAGCAAGGUGGUUAUGAAUCGUACUCUGGAUGCAACUCUUAUUUUCUCUUUAAAUAAAAAUAAAUGUGUAGAGCUAACAUGAAAAAAGGUACUUUGUUCAAAUACAGCUACAUUUUUUAAAUAAUAAACUGAACAGAUACCAUUUUUUAGAAUGUGUGGUACUAAAAUGUCGUGUUGUGUGGCAGUAUGAAUGUCAACGCUGUCGCCCUUCCAAGGGUAUUAAAGAGAAUAACUCAUGUCCAAAAACAGUGGUCAGUGUCCCUUCAAAGGCUUUGGUCACACUCAGAACUUCACUAUAACACAACAUUGCAGCACAACACACAUGGAGGAUACAAUAAACUCGCCCCACUAAUACCCUGGAUCUUUCAUGACUGGCAGUAAGAAACUUUCCGGCUCUUCUCAACUUGGUAUUUAAUGUUUUUUUAAAUAGCAGCAGUGCCCCACUUGUUAUCUCCCUGGGUCUUGAUCUGUUCUCAAAACAGAACGUCUGGAUGUCUGACUGAAGACGAAGGGCAAUUAUACGGCGUCCUGCUUAUUCUUUUGUGCUUCUUCCGGUCACGUCACUUGAAAUCCUCAAAGCACCUGUGAAGAAAGAGAUCUCUCUCCUCCUCGCAGUCCCCUCGCUUCAUUACAUUGGAAAUGGAGAACAACAGUUUUCUCACGCAAGAUUACAUCACAUUAAUGAGUUCUUUAAAUUGCCUAUCACAAUCUUCAACUUCUAGAUUCACGUGCACAGCGGCAGUUAAAUGGGGUUCCAGACAAACCGUGAGACCCAUCAAUUGCAUCAGUCUCUGUCUCAGCCUGCGACACCGCACAGAGGACCCACACUGCAGGGAUUUCUUCUUACUUACAACAGCAAACUACAUCACCAGUGGGGUUUUUCGAUCCACGGCUCUGCAACAGUCCAUGUUGAUAUGUCCUUGGGGGCAAGACACUCCACCCCGGCGCGUUCCUGCAGGCUGUGCCUCCAGUGUGUGAGCGUUAAUUAGCUCCGAUGGUCCGGUGACACCUCGCUUGGUGGACCCUUGUCAUCGCCGAGUGAAAGGGUGUGAAGUCCAUUUACCUUUUAGUGCCCCGCCUGCUGGGACGAAGGCCAAAUGGGUCAGGAAAACAAAUAUUGUGUGUCUGAAUUUCGUGCUGUGUAGAAGAAAGUAAGCCAGGUUUGCAACUCAUUAAAAUUUGGACCCUCCAGAUACAGCUUGGAAUAACAGUUUUCGCCAGACCUUUUCACCUCCACGUGGGAAGGUAAUUUAGAGCAUUGUGAACCUUUUUUAAAAACAUUUCCACUCCCCAAAAAUGGUGUACUUGCAAAAAUUACUUUAAACACUCAACAGUUACAAAGCACAAUUAUCAAUGAAGUGCAGUUAUUUCCAAUGUGGUCCGGACCCCACGAAGCCGAGAGAAGCUGCAGAGUUGAUGCGUCUCAUCCUGCAGAUUUAAAUUCCUUCAUUUGGCUAUUUCGAGAAACUCACCGGUUAAAAGAGAUCUGAGUCUUUUUUUAAAUAAUAUUGCAACAAAGGUACUCUGGCACAAUAUCUAGGACAUUGUGAUUAUGACUUGCUUUCACCUCACACCAGAGCAACUUUUCCUCCAACUCGUUUAAAGCAGAUAAUUCUCAAGUGUACUUAUUUUAUAUAUAGCUGUAGCUUUCUCUUUUGUUUAGAUCUUACUAGAACGUACCACACUGAACCGUCAGGGUUGGGGGUAAACAAAACUUUAUGGCCAAAAUACUUUUCAUUUGAAUAAUGCAUCUGCCCAGCUGCAUAAUUACCCACAUCACAGGCUAAAGGUAAUGAUUUUGCAAAAAACGAUUAAAAAAACACAAACUAUCUUGCAUCGCUCUUUCGGAUGUAAUGUACGGUGCAAAUCCAUUUGGGGGGAGGGGGGGAGGGCUCAGCAUUCGGAGCACAGCAGGAAAUUGCAGUCACUUUGGUACAUGGUCGUCGUGGCGACGCAGAAAGAUUCCUUACUGGCUCCGCGCUGCUAUCGGGCUCUCAACACAAAUAACCGUAUCCUGAAAGCCGAUGAAACAGAGGUGGCGGUUGGCAAGCUCCCGUGGUCAAUGGCAGAUGCGGGAGGAUGAGGUAUGUCGUGACUGAUUGGCUCUGAAGCGAUGUUCAUUCAUGUAAAGUGUGCACACAGCCGUUCCACUUUUUCAAGCACAGGUGGCUCUUUUUUUCCUGGCAAAGCCAUUUUCUUCAGAGCAUUGAUGACAAACAUCAAUGAAUUUGACAGGAAAAGAAAUUCCCAGCAACUGUUCACGCCAGUCAUGAUCUCAUCCCUCGGAGGCACCUCGGUUAUUUCUUAAAUGUCACCCUCAGAGCCGAGGCUGCUCUGCAGGUUCUCUCAAAUUUCUCUUUCAGAAUAAAUUCUAGGCUGCAUUCAAAUGAAGGGAUACAGCUGCUCUCCCUGCUGAUGUACUGACUGAGGGCUCGGCUACGAUAAUGAAGUUGCUCCAUUUGCAUCGUUGAACAUUCAACAUUUAGGAGUUUAGUUUGUGAUUUCAUGGGUAAGUGUAGCCCAUGUGAAAAACAUGUAUACAUCCAGUGUUUGACUCAAUAAAUACAUAAACAGUUUAUUAAAAGUUGAGGUUAAACUACAUAUUUCAUUUGUGUGGUAAAAUGUAAUGUUCAUGGGUAAUAAUGUUAAAGGUGCAUCUGUUUUUUAUGUUUCCUUUCUGAUAGAAGCUUGAUGGGUUUUU